rnacentral:rRNA from 1 species
UACAGGGGGGGCAAGCGUUGUUCGGAAUUACUGGGCGUAAAGGGCCAGUAGGCGGCCAACUAAGUCACACGUGAAAUCCCCAGGCUUAACCUGGGAACUGCGUGUGAUACUGGAUGGCUUGAAUUCGGGAGAGGGAUGCAGAAUUCCAGGUGUAGCGGUGAAAUGCGUAGAUAUUAGGAGGAAUACCGGUGGCGAAGGCGGCCUUCUGGGCCGAUCUUGACGCUGAGACGCGAAAGCGUGGGGAGCAAACAGG